rnacentral:pre_miRNA from 1 species
UAUGAAAAAUUUCAUUCAUUUUUACUAUUGAAAACUAGUGUUUCUAACAUAAUAGUUAAAUAGUUAUACAUAGUGAGCCACGUGUACUUUAUUUUGAUAUGUAUGAACAUAUUUUUAACAAUAGAAAUUGAUGAAAUUUUUAAUA